GUAUAGUUUCUCAGAAACUCAUCGUACUUGUUUUCUUGCAUUACUGCAAUCUUCUUCGUUUUGUCCUCUCUUGUGAUUGUUGGGUCGUUCUGAUGUGCCCAGAUCGUGGUUCUUCUAGUGAGGUUGGUUUCGUGGACGCCAGUGUUGUUUGGCUUCUUGGGUCGUUUCUGUUUCGUGGCCUAUCUUGCUUGGUGCCGCCUGUGCUUGUGCUUGGUGCUGUCGCUUUCUUGCAUAUCCUUGAGCGGGUCUUCUAUUGUUGGCGCAUUGCUGCUUGGUUUGGGGAGGGGUGGCGCGUGCCGGG
rnacentral:lncRNA from 1 species